AACGCGAAGAACCUUACCUACCCUUGACAUGCCAAGAAUCUUGCAGAGAUGUGAGAGUGCCUUCGGGAACUUGGACACAGGUGCUGCAUGGCUGUCGUCAGCUCGUGUCGUGAGAUGUUGGGUUAAGUCCCGUAACGAGCGCAACCCCUGUCCUUAAUUGCCAGCACGUAAAGGUGGGAACUUUAAGGAGACCGCCGAUGAUAAGUCGGAGGAAGGUGGGGACGACGUCAAGUCAUCAUGGCCUUUAUGGGUAGGGCCACACACGUGCUACAAUGGGCGGUACAAAGAGACGCGAACUCGCGAGGGGAAGCAAAUCUCAAAAAGCCGCUCUCAGUCCGGAUUGGAGUCUGCAACUCGACUCCAUGAAGCUGGAAUCGCUAGUAAUCGCAAAUCAGAAUGUUGCGGUGAAUACGUUCCCGGGCCUUGUACACACCGAGUAUA
rnacentral:rRNA from 1 species